AUUGAACGCUGGCGGCAGGCCUAACACAUGCAAGUCGAACGAGUGGCGGACGGGUGAGUAAUGUCUGGGAAACUGCCUGAUGGAGGGGGAUAACUACUGGAAACGGUAGCUAAUACCGCAUACCAUCGGAUGUGCCCAGAUGGGAUUAGCUAGUAGGUGGGGUAAAGGCUCACCUAGGCGACGAUCCCUAGCUGGUCUGAGAGGAUGACCAUCCCCACUGGAACUGAGACACGGUCCAGACUCCUCCAUGAUCCAUCAUUUUGUAAUAUUGCACAAUUGGCGCAAGCCUGAUUCAGCCAUGCCGCGUGUAUGAAGAAACCCUUCGGUUUUUAAAGUACUUUCAGCGGGGAGGCGUUACCCGCAGAAUAAGCACCGGCUAACUCCGUGCCAGCAGCCGCGGUAAUAC
rnacentral:rRNA from 1 species